AGUGAACGCUGGCGGCGUGCCUAAUACAUGCAAGUCGAACGGAAUUUAAAAGAGCUUGCUCUUUUAAAUUUAGUGGCGCACGGGUGAGUAAUAUAUAGCUAAUCUGCCCCUUGCUGGAGGACAACAGUUAGAAAUGACUGCUAAUACUCCAUACUCCUUUUUACCAUAAGAUAAAUCGGGAAAGAAUUUCGGCGAGGGAUGAGACUAUAUCGUAUCAGCUAGUCGGUGGGGUAACGGCCUACCGAGGCUAUGACGCGUGACUGGUCUGAGAGGAUGAUCAGUCACAUUGGGACUGAGACACGGUCCAGGCUCCUACGGGAGGCAGCAGUAGGGAAUAUUGCGCUAUGGGGGAGACCCUGACGCAGCGACGCCGCGUGGAGGAUGACACUUUUCGGAGCGUAGACUCCUUUUGUUAGGGAAGAAUAAGACGGUACCUAAC
rnacentral:rRNA from 1 species